CGUGCUUAGGAUGUUGGCAUAAUGGCUUUAAGCGACCCGUCUUGAAACACGGACCAAGGAGUCUAACAUGCUUGCGAGUGUUCGGGUGGAAAACCCUUGCGCGUAAUGAAAGUGAAAGUUGGGAGCCUCCGCAAGGGGGUGCACCGACGCCCGGCCCUGACGUUCUCUGACGGUGCUGCGGUAGAGCAGGUAUGUUGGGACCCGAAAGAUGGUGAACUAUGCCUGAAUAGGGCGAAGCCAGAGGAAACUCUGGUGGAGGCUCGUAGCGAUUCUGACGUGCAAAUCGAUCGUCAAAUUUGGGUAUAGGGG
rnacentral:rRNA from 3 species